AGUACAGACGAGUUUGAUCAUGGCUCAGAUUGAACGCUGGCGGCAUGCUUUACACAUGCAAGUCGAACGGUAGACCCUUUCGGGGGUUGAGAGUGGCGAACGGGUGAGUAAUGCAUCGGAACGUGCCUAGUCGUGGGGGAUAACGUAGCGAAAGUUACGCUAAUACCGCAUACGCACUGAGGUGGAAAGCGGGGGACCGUAAGGCCUCGCGCGAUUGGAGCGGCCGAUGUCGGAUUAGCUAGUUGGUGAGGUAAAGGCUCACCAAGGCGACGAUCCGUAGCGGGUCUGAGAGGAUGAUCCGCCACACUGGGACUGAGACACGGCCCAGACUCCUACGGGAGGCAGCAGUGGGGAAUUUUGGACAAUGGGCGCAAGCCUGAUCCAGCCAUGCCGCGUGCGGGAAGAAGGCCUUCGGGUUGUAAAGCUCUUUCGGCCGGGAAGAAAUCGCACAGGUUAAUACCCUGUGUGGAUGACGGUACCGGAAUAAGAAGCACCGGCUAACUACGUG
rnacentral:rRNA from 1 species